rnacentral:sRNA from 2 species
CGCCCGUCAAACUAUGAGAGCUGGUAAUACCUGAAACCGUUAGGCUAACCUCGUGAGGCUUGCGUCUAGGGUAGGACUGGUGAUUGGAGUUAAGUCGUAACAAGGUACCCCUACGGGAAUGUGGGGGUGGAUCACCUCCUUUCUAACGGAGUUAAUUUAAUUAAUUAACUAACAUUAGAUGUUAGUGUACAUUUUAUAAAAUCCAAUUUUCUUUAUUAACCUAAUAUUAAUAAAUAAAGAAUUUGGUCAGAUUCUAUUUAGUUUUGAGAGAUUUUUCUCUCAGGAUAGUUCUUUGAAAACUGAAUAUUACAACAAUCUUUUUAGUCUAAUUCAUAUUUAACAAGAAUUUUAGAGGAUACAAAAUAAGUUACUAAGGGCUUAUGGUGGAUGCCUUGGGACUGGAAGGCGAUGAAGGACGUGCAAACCUGCGAUAAGCUACGGGUAGCUGGUAAGAGGCGUUUAUCCGUAGAUGUCCGAAUGGGGGAACCCGAUAGAUAGUGAUAUCUAUCAUUAUUAGCUGAAUAAAUAGGUUAAUAAGGCGAUACCUGGUGAAGUGAAACAUCUCAGUAACCAGAGGAAAAGAAAACGAAGUGAUUCCGUAAGUAGCGGCGAGCGAAAGCGGAACAGGCCAAACCGGAUUAAUUUCCGGGGUUGUAGGACUGCAAUGUGGACUUAAAUAGGAUAGUAGAAGUGGUUGGGAAGCCACAUCAUAGAGGGUGACAAUCCCGUAUACGAAAUCUUAUUUAUACCUAGCAGUAUCCUGAGUACGGCGGGACACGUGGAAUCUUGUCGGAAUCUGCCCAGACCAUUGGGUAAGCCUAAAUACUAACCAGCCACCGAUAGCGUAUA